GCCGGCGUGGCGGAACGGCAGACGCCGAGGACUUAAAAUCCUCCGAGGGGCAACCCUCAUGUGGGUUCGACUCCCACCGCCGGCA
rnacentral:tRNA from 1 species